AGCAGCCGCGGUAAUUCCAGCUCCAAUAGCGUAUAUUAAAGUUGUUGCAGUUAAAAAGCUCGUAGUUGAAUUUCGGGAUCGAAUUGUUGGUCGUGCUUCGGUACGCACUGGCAUUAUCGGUUUCUACCUUCUGAAGGACCGCGAUGUCAUUAAUUUGGUGUCGUGGGGAAUCAGGACUGUUACUUUGAAAAAAUUAGAGUGUUUAAAGCAGGCUUACGCUUGAAUACAUUAGCAUGGAAUAAUGAAAUAGGACGUUUGAUUCUAUUUUGUUGGUUUCUAGGAUCGACGUAAUGAUUAAUAGGGAUAGUUGGGGGCAUUAGUAUUCAAUUGUCAGAGGUGAAAUUCUUGGAUUUAUUGAAGACUAACUACUGCGAAAGCAUUUGCCAAGGAUGUUUUCAUUAAUCAAGAACGAAAGUUAGGGGAUCGAAGACGAUCAGAUACCGUCGUAGUCUUAACCAUAAACUAUGCCGACUAGGGAUUGGAUGAUGUUAAUUUUAUAAUGACUC
rnacentral:rRNA from 1 species